GGGAAUGUCCCGGUCUUUAUCCAGGGCGUUGAGCAAGCCCAAGCACCGCAGCUCUUCUGUAACCCCCUGAUUUUUAACCUGCCAAUAGGAUAAAAGUUUUAAAACAAGCCCAAUUCAGAGACACUUGGAAUCAGUACAUUAAAAUGAGGUUUGAAUGCAACGUCAUCCCAAGGAACAAUGAAAAUGGCACUUUGGUUUAGGAAGCAAAUUGGGAAACAAUCAACAGGGAGCUGAAGGCAUGCUCAAUGAGGAAACAAUCUGCUCAAGGCUGGAGCGUAGGCUGAAGAUCAAAAUGAGGGCAUGUAUCCCUCUUGACCCUUUCCAGGAAAGUAGAUGAGAACAUCUGCAAAGGGGCUUCUAUGGAAAGCCAGUGGGGUACAAGUUCAGCUCAAGACUUUGAGCCAGCUGGAGAGAAACCCAGUGUCUUUCCAAGAAAUAUGUCGCCAGUUAAGGAUCUCUGUGUGCAAUUUUGAAGCCUUGAGUCACGGUCCGCCAAAUCUCUUAAUGACUCUCCAGUUGCCGACGGAGCGUGGCAGCAGAAGUUCCCCCCUGCGGUCUCAAAGAAAAGAAAGCAGCCUGAAAGUUGGUCGUGAUCUAAAUGACUGAAGCCCUGCAUCUUCGGACGAAUUCCCAGAGGG